CUUGCUUUCAUAGCUGUUUUGUAUAUUCCUUGAAGGUGUUCACUGUCUAUUCUCUAUUAUGGGAAAAUUUUUUAAUGAUGUUAAUAAUCAUAUUUCAUAACUAUUGACAUGACUGCUCUGAGGAUAAAAAAUUUAUCCUGCACUUUCUCACAACAUUUAACCUUUUCCUCAAUGUGUCUCACAUCCAAGAGGGAAAAUUCUUUGGUUUGGAGGUGUCUUCUAGUGAUAAUAUAGGUAAUAUAAUGAUAAUGCUAUCCCUGAUACACAAAGAUAACUCUUGCUGAUCAGUACGAGUCUUAGACUGUUUUCCCACUAAAGGUCUUGGAGUCCUGUUAAUCAUUAUGGUUUCCCCAUAGGUUCCACUUGGUUGGAGAGCUUGGAGAAGUAACAUGUUAGCUAAGGUGGUGAGGAGCCAAGUUAAAUUAACUGGUCCACAUGGGGACUGAUCCCUUGUUCUUGGUAUGAGUUAUGUUGUACUUUAAUCAACAACCCAUUCCAAUAUUCUUGCCUGUAGAAUUCCAUGAAUAGAGGAGCUUGCUGGAUUACAGUCUAUUGGGGUCACAAAGAGUCAGACACAACUGAAGCAACUGACACUUUAAUCAAUAAAGACUGGUUUGGCUUAGAGUGGACAGAGCAGCUGGGCACAAACCUUCUGGGCAACCCCUGCACUUCAUGCCGCCUGGGAACAGGCUGA
rnacentral:lncRNA from 1 species